UGUCACUACCAUAUCAAAGUAGAACGGAACUUGCUUGUCACUGUUGGCCAGCAAUACCUGAAACUGAUUUUUCGUGUCGAUCCGCAAAAAUCCCAGGUGGACGCGAGAGAGCAGCAACCAACGCCUUCGCCUUCGCGCCCCGCCCGGCCGCCGCCCCCCCCGCCCGCGGGCGCCGGACCCUCUGAACUGAAUUCAAAUCAAAUCUCAGAGCCCCUGAAUAUCGAAUCGAAAUUAAACUUGGAAUCGAAUUCAAACCAUAAUUCGGUGAAUUAGACGACUAUUUCUGGCUCUAAUAUAGACCACUAAGGCUUUGCAGAUUGAUUCUCUGGCAGAGUUCCUCUGUGGGUGCUCCUAAGCAGAAAUGGACGGCAGAAGAAGAAUCAGCCCUUAAAGCUGGAGUUAUUAAACAUGGUGCAGGAAAAUGGCGGACCAUACUUAAAACAUCCAGAAUUUAGUGGUGUUCUGUAUACUCGUUCAAAUGUAGAUCUUAAGGAUAAGUGGAGAAAUAUGAGUGUCAUGGCAAAUGGAUGGGGCUUUCGAGAGAAGGCUAAGAAAACACUUAGAACUCUAUGGCUCUCAGUAAUGUUGCUCAAAGCGAUGAUGAAAACAUGGAAGCUAAGCCUAUUUCAAUUUCCAGUGGGACCCAGCAGAUUUCUGGUCCCAGAAAAUCUAUUGUGAGUGCCUUUUGCCUCGGUUUUGGCAAUCUGGUCACUGCUUAACAUUCCAUUUGUACGAGUGCAGGUAAAGCGCAGAUUCAGGUGCACCUACUCCAGCGUUUUAUGAAAAAAGAAGAAAUUCAUCAACGUAUCCUUUUGAGGGGAGACAAUGGCGUCUCCUUUUGAGGGAAGACAAUGGCGUCUCCUUUUGAGGGAAGACAUGGCGUCCCUAAAAUUUGACAAUGAUGAGGCUAUCCUGAUGAAAGCCCAAAUUGAUUUGGAGCUUGCGAAGAUGAGGACUAUGACCCCCGAAGAAGCUGCUUUAGCUGCUGCUCAAGCAGUGAAAGAUGAAGAAGCUGCCAUUGCUGAAGCCGAAGAGGCAGCCAGGGAGACUGAGGCUGCUGAAGCUGAUGCAGAAGCAGCACAAGCUUUUGCAGAAGCAGCUAUGAAGACACUAAAGGAAGAAAUGCUGCGAAGAUGAUGAAUCGUCCCUGAUUGAAGUUCGAAACAUGAAAGAGCAAUGAACCAGAAGUUUCUUGGGACCGGCGCAUGUUUCAUUGUAAUUGUAAAUUAUGUUAUCAAAUUCACCUACACAGAGAUGGGUGAUUUGUAUUUUGAUUAGUUUCAUUGUAGGAAGGUAGGUAUUGAGACCCGUCUGGUUCAUGGCAGUUGUUCAUUUCCUUUUGCAAACCAUAAAUCUGCAUUGUAACGCAGAAAAUUAGGACUCACAGUGGGAUAGAAAAGUUUUUUGUAAUUGUCUUGUUAUUUUUUCUUUACCUUGUUUUUCUUGGCCUUAAAGAAAGGAGGAGGCGGCUAUCACUUUUAUCUUCGAAGGUGACUCUUGCGCCGCCCUGCUCUCCGCCCGUUUAGAGCGGGGUCUUCCCUACUAACUCGAGGGCUUAGGGCAUGCUGUCAUUGGUUGGGUUAGUUCAUUCAUAUAGCAACAAGAUGUAUAUGCUUCUGGAUCGUAGUGUUUAGUCUGAUUCAAUGAUAUAGUUUUUGCCCCCUC